UGGGUGUUGGGCUGGCAACUCGGCACCAUAAAAAUCUACUGCCAAUCAUUAGCAGACCAGAGUUCCGCUGUGGCGACCCCUUACUGGGAAAAGCCAAAAAGAAAAACAACAACAAAGGUCUUUAAUUCAGGAUUUAUCCAUUGUUCAUUCCAAAAUGUUCUUUCUCACUUUUAACAAUAGAAAGCAAAACCAUCCAAGGUUCAUGAUGCUUCCAUGUAGUAUUUUUUUUCCUUGGAAAAGCUACGUAUAAGUCAGGAACCUCUUCUCUUUUCAAAAUGAAUGUAGUAUACACGUUGAAAGCAUCAGUAUUGUUAAGGGUAAAUAAAAUAUUUCAGUCUGUGGCAGAAAAAGUAGAAAGUACUACCUGUGCAGGGGCCAGUACUCAGUCAUAUCUCCCUGAACAAGGAAAUUCAUGGUCAUUUUAUUGAAAAUCCUUAUCAAGGUAAUAAACUAUCAGACGUCUGCUAGCAUCCAAUAGAAAAUAGCUGAACAAUACACUUUAUUCCUCAGAGCGCUACUAAAUAUCGAAAUAGAAUAUGCCAGGUUUAGUAAAAAUACAUCUGCAGCUUCUUAUCUACAGUUUUACCUAGUGAAAAAUAAGUUUACUUUUACCAGGUGAUUUACAAAAAAUGCUGCCUCAGGCUCAAAAAACAAAAUGUAACAUUCUGUUCUUGUUCAUAGUUGCACAGUACUUUUGCAGUCACAUACACCAGCCUUCUGAGAGACUUGCAAUUUCAUUUUAACCCAUUACAGUAUAUACCUUUAAAUAAGAAGAUAAAUCACUAAAUCGGAUGGAGUUUCCUGUUCUAGUCACAUUUCGGUCAUUCUUGCAUCUCAUUUGCCUUAUGCCAGAGACUGAAUUUAUUUUUUCAGUAGUUGUACCACAAUUGGUGUGGCAGUGUGGUGGCCAGCUUUUUAUGCACAGUUUUGACUAAUAUAGACUAUAACUAAAAAUAAAGUUUUUUAGACAGGCACAAACAGAUAAUUUUUAUAGUUGUACAUGCACUGAUACACAAGUAAAAACAUUUUUUUCAGAUGUAUUCACAUAGUUCACCAUUCUAGUAAUGAUUUUCAGUGUUGUCGUUACAUUAUUAGCACUUUUAAUUAACCUUAGGUUCCUUUGUGGUAUCACAUUGUUCUCUUUGUGCACUCUGCUCACCACCACACACCUAUAGCAUGAUUUUAGAAGUAUGCAGACAGUGACUCACCAGUGCUACUAUCUGCUAUUAAAGCUGACAAGGUAUAUGCUCUAAGGUUUUUCUUCCAAUCAUGUUUAAUAAGUGACAUUAAGGGGAAACUUCUGUCAUAUACACACAUCAGCAGAAAAGGUAAUUAUAACAAAUAUUUUUACAUCAUAUCAUUCUUCAAAAGAAUUCUAUGCUGCUCUUCAAUAGACUUCAGCAGCUGGAUGCAUAAGCUUUAUCCUUUCCAAGACUGCUGAAGCAGAAUCAUGCCCCUUAUGUUAGUGUGUUACAGUGCAGAAUGGUCUGCUCUUCCAGAAGCAUGUGGCACAGUGGUUAACAAUCCUUCCCCACACCCACUGAGUUCCACAGUUCCAUUCUUUGGUGAGGUGCCACCUUUAAAUAAACAAAUAAUCACUUUCCGUGGCACAAAGGAUAGACCAGAUGGGUUAGCAUAGUAUAUUUUAAUAUCCACUUUUGUAAAUACUUCAACAGAACUCUGAGUUCUGAUGAAGUAUUUACAAAAGUGGAUAUUAAAACUUACUAUGCUAUCCCAUCUGGUCCUAGCCUUUGUGCCACUGGAAGUGUUUAUUUGUGGACUCUCUUCACUUUGCCUUCAUGGUUGAUUUUUAAUUGGCUUUGAGGUGCCAUCUUUGCAAAGCUUGCUCAUCUCCCACGUGCCUGCUUUUUUUUUUUUUUUUUUCGUUUGGGGGGCUCCGUUCUUCCCAUAUCCUAAAGUCAUGCCAUAUAUCAUCUCAUGGAAUGGUGUGAUGUAAGGGAUUAGAUUCUGUACAUUGCAUCCUCUCAGUGCCAGGAUAGGCUGCAGGUCCACCAUGACCCUGAACCAAAUAAAACAGGUAGUCAGAGAAUGAAUGAAUUAAUUACUUAAACAAACCUAGCAAAACUUGUACUUCUCCACAGCCCUUUAAGGAGUUAGGCCCAUGAGUCCAGCUAUCUCCAUAGCCCUUUAAGAUGUUUGGCCCAUGAAUCCAGUUAAGCUGAACAUUGCCAUUUCUUUAGUUACACAUUCAGUUGUGAAUUCAGAGAAACAUAUUCUUGAUUAAUGUAUAGCCGUAUACAGCAUUUUAAUUACAUUUAACAUAUUGAUCCUGGCCAUUUUUUGCAUCAUCUUCAGGGUGUGAUCUUUUAGAGGCAGAAAAAGUGAGCUGAACAUCUUCGUAAUCCAGUGUACAAAUUUCUGCAUCUGGCUGAGGCAGGGAUUUCAGUUUUGUCAUAAGUGGAGUAACUAUAGCUUGCACUAAAUCUACUGUUAUAGAAAUUUGCCGAAAUGUCAUUCCCAGCCUGGACCUGCAGUAUUACUUUAACUUCCUCAGAGUUGCCAGUUUCCCUGAAUUUCUCUGUACCAUUUCCUGAUGCAUCCUGCAGAUGUAUUACAAGAGGGGGUAGAUAGGUUACAAGUUGUCCUUCCUUAGCAUGUAGGAUGCAUGACAAUCAACUGGCCCUGCCCGUGUUCAUGAAAUGCAAUACCUUCAUUCCUAAAUCUUCCCCUUAAACUGGUUCAGUCUGCAGACUAAAGAAUACUGCUUCAAAAAAAAAAACACAAUAAAAAGUGUUUGCUCCACAGUUGAACAUUGUUUUGUUUCCUUAGUCAGUGAUGCAAUGGCUAAAAUGUGGAGUUGCACACAGUACACCAUUUUUAAAAGUCUAGCUUCUUUUUUCAGUAUUACCAUUGCCUGAAUUUUGCUGCCUGACAUGGCUUAGAUCCCAUUGAAACAACAAACAAAUAACUUGCUUCCUGCCUGGGAUGUGGGAUUCUUUCUUGUAUUUAUUGUUGAUGAGCUUUUUUUUUUCAUCUGCAGUAUCAUGUCAUUCUGGCCAUAUAGUAUGCCCUUUUUGGAGUCUACAGUGACAAUUCAUAAAUCCAAUGCAAACCAAAACUACUAAAGAUACAGGUAGCACUUAAAUGCGCACAGAUAGAGAACCAAAAACAAUAACUCAGUAUCCAAAAAUACUUCAUUUAAAACAACAAAACGCUUAAAUGCAUAUAAAUAGAAACAGAAAAAGAACCAAAAACUAUCAGCUUUGAAUCCAGAAGGCACAUACAUAAAAAAGGAACCAAAAUCAAUAAUUCUAGAUGCAAAAAUGUAUUUUUAAAUAAAAAGAAAAGGAGCAUGGAUGAGGUCUUGAGUCUCAUUCAGUUUAACAUACAAAAAUACAUUUAGAAGCCAGUUUUCAUAACACAUGUGCUUGCAUAAAGUAAUAACAUUUAUCUCCUCAGCUUUAAACAUAGCACCAGACUGUCUCUUAUUUAUGCUGAAACCAUGACAGGCUUCUCAUUUUCCCUGCCAGUCUGUUUCAUAUUACAGUAAUAAGGGUUCCAUGUUAUCAUCCCUAAUACUUUGAGCAAUAACUUGUAAGCAGUGGAAUUCUAUAACAUAUUCUGUUGAUUUCCCCUCCCUGAACACAAGUAGGCUGCUAUGUGUAAUACUUGCUACAAUAGAAUUACAAAAAUGGUGCUCUAAUGUAUUUUUUAACCAUAUAUCUGUAUAUUUACGUUUACUGUAGUGACUACUGGCUUAAGACCAUUUGGACUGAUUAUAAAUUACUUGCUGCUUUUUUAUAGUCUGUCAGGCUAUCUUGUAUCAUUCUAUUUCUAUUCAUUAUCAUUAGCGUAGUGUACUGUGCCCAUUGCAUGACAAAUUUCUUUUUGUUGUAUAGACUUUUUCUAGUGCAUGUGCAAAGCAAAAUAAAUGCAUUGAACAUUCUGUUUAAACUGCAUGGAAUAUUACAUUAUCUAGUAACAUUUUUCUGAGUAGGCACACAAUUUCAAUUUAUUAUUAAGGUUUGUACUAAAAGAUUAGUGACAUUUUAUACCCACUAUAUUUCUUCCAAACACUGUCAGCUUACGGACUUUGUAUUGCAGACUGCAGCUUAAUGCAGAUGAAGUCUGCAAUACAAUCAGUGUUUCCUGUGUUUUGGUUUUAAAGUAGUUGCAUAUCAUCUUAAUAUUAGACACAUCAAAACACUUUAUUCAUAUUAUUUAUUUUGAUAACUCUUCAAAAAAAAAUACUUUUCAUGUUGUGGUAGUUAUAUCAUUAAAGAUUUCACCUACUUAAAUGUAUGUUAUAUUAAAAAUACAGCCAUUUCUGUUGGGUAUUCAUUCACUUGGAGUAUGCAAUUUUUUACUGAUAUUUUUCAAGACACAUUCACGAUGGACUACAGCACUGGCCAGGAGACUCAACAAAAAUCUAUUUUUUGGGCUAAUGGAUAAAUGUAACUUCAUAUAAAAUCUAAAAAAUAUAGAACAGGAAAACUAAAUGUGUGCAUAUGGUUUCACCUAGACAUUGCAACUUGAAGUUUGUGUCUCAAGUCGUUUUACCCUGAAACUGUAACAGUUCACCUUAUUAACAAAUAAUGUAUAAAAUACAACAUGAUGUUUGGAGACAAAAACCUUUUGCACAAUGUAGCAUGUGUUUGUAUUAUUUUUUUAACCUGUGUCUAAAGACUAAAACUGGGCAUUUAUAGUUUGUUUGCAGAAUAUUCAAUAACAUUAAAAUUUUUUUUAAAGUUUCUCUAUCUUUUAUCAGUCAGAAGGUUAGUAUGUCCAUGGCUUGAUGCUAGGGGCAGGGCUAAUGAAAAUUUGUACUUUUCAUAUCUGUUUUCUUCAAAUACAUAGCAGAAGUACCAGUAGUUUGACAUAAAUUCUGUAAAAUAACAUCCUGUAUUUCUGUUUUGUAGCACACCGUGUUCAUGUUUGUAGAUACUAUGACAGACAACGUUUUAGAUGCAUUAAAUAAAAAGAAAUGUCUGCAGCAAUUGGCCAUAUA